GGGCGUGCUCCUACAUGCUGAUCGAGCGAGAAAGCUUCUUCGGAAGUGAGUACAGCGGCGAACGGGUGAGUUACGCGUGAGAAUCUACCUUUUAGUGAAGGAUACCCUUGAGAAAUCGAGGUUAAUACUGCAUAAGUCCCUUCGGGGAGAAAGAUGGCCUCUUUGCUGUCGCUAAAAGAUGAGCUUGCGUGCUAUUAGCUAGUUGGUAGGGUAAAGGCCUACCAAGGCGAUGAUGGCUAGCCGGCCUGAGAGGGUGUACGGCCACACUGGAACUUAGACACGGUCCAGACUCCUACGGGAGGCAGCAGUGAGGAAUCUUGCGCAAUGGGCGAAAGCCUGACGCAGCGACGCCGCGUGGAGGAUGAAGGUCUUUGGAUUGUAAACUCCUGUUAAGUGGGAAGAAACGUCUGUUUUUAAUAGAAGCAGAUAAUGACGGUACCAUUAGAGAAAGCACCGGCUAACCUCGUGCCAGCAGCCGCGGUAUACGAGGGGUGCAAGCGUUAUUCGGAAUUAUUGGGCGUAAAGGGUGCGUAGGCGGCAUAUAAAGUCAACUGUUAAAUUCCUCGGCCUAAACGAGGCUCUGCAGUAGAUACUGAAUGUGCUAGAGGGUGGAAGAGAGAAGUGGA
rnacentral:rRNA from 1 species